GAUGAACGCUGGCGGCGUGCCUAAUACAUGCAAGUCGAGCGAACAGAUGAGGAGCUUGCUCCUCUGACGUUAGCGGCGGACGGGUGAGUAACACGUGGAUAACCUACCUAUAAGACUGGGAUAACUUCGGGAAACCGGAGCUAAUACCGGAUAAUAUAUUGAACCGCAUGGUUCAAUAGUGAAAGACGGUUUUGCUGUCACUUAUAGAUGGAUCCGCGCCGCAUCAGCUAGUUGGUAAGGUAACGGCUUACCAAGGCAACGAUGCGUAGCCGACCUGAGAGGGUGAUCGGCCACACUGGAACUGAGACACGGUCCAGACUCCUACGGGAGGCAGCAGUAGGGAAUCUUCCGCAAUGGGCGAAAGCCUGACGGAGCAACGCCGCGUGAGUGAUGAAGGUCUUCGGAUCGUAAAACUCUGUUAUUAGGGAAGAACAAAUGUGUAAGUAACUAUGCACGUCUUGACGGUACCUAAUCAGAAAGCCACGGCUAACUACGUG
rnacentral:rRNA from 1 species